rnacentral:misc_RNA from 1 species
CUCCACGCGAGAUACCGAUGGCCUCUCACCACUUGCGUCUCCCCACGUCGUUCCUCCGUCCGUAGCCUCCCGGACGCGCCGCUCAAGGGCCCGUCUGCAUACCUUCUUCGACACCGUGGUGCUCAGAUCUCCUCUCCAACACCGACGACGACCACCACCAUGGCAGCCGCCUUCCUUGUGCACCUCUCUCGUCGCGCCACCACCACCUCUACCUCCACAAUGGCGGCCUCCCUCCGGUGCCUCCUCACAGCCCCCUCCACCGGCCUCAUCCUCCCGUCCCCAUCCGCUCCGCCCACCAAAGAAGAGCAUCUGGACCUCUUCUUUUUCGAAUCCACAAAAUGGUUGUUAAGCUACUGCUAUAUUGCUGACCAGAUUGAUUUACAAAUUUAGUUUGAGGCAAAUCUUGCCGCCGAGCAGUAACAAACUGCUCCUUUGGAGUAACACUAGGCUUAGACUGCGCGACAGCUGCAACACUAUUCAAG